rnacentral:rRNA from 1 species
UUUCAGGGAAUUCCAAAGAAGGGUAACAAACGAACAUGCCGAUGCAGAUGCCCCGCAAUGAUACGAUUGCUCCGGUCAUCUGACAAUGGCUGGUACAUAACCUACUACAGAUCAGAUCACAACCAUGCUCUGACUGAAAGAUGUGGGGAGAAAGUGUAGUGGCCUUCCCACAAACAUAUCGAUAUAUACACAUGGGAUGUCAUUAAGCAACUCCGUGAAAAUAACAUCAGUGUCGGGAAAGUUUACAAUAUAAUUGGUAGCUUCUUCGGGUCAAUGACCAAUAUACCAUUCACCAAAAGAGCUCUCCGAGGUUUGUGUGGAAAGAUGAGUCGAGAACAAGCCGAUAAUGAUGUGAAAAAGACAAUGGAUGUUUUUGCAGAGUUGGGAGCAAAAGAUUCAGGCUUGUACUACAGGGUGCAACCUGAUGUUUUUGCAGAGUUGGGAGCAAAAGAUUCAGAGUUGAGCUUGACGGCGGCCGAUUCACAGCUAUCAACAGGAAAAGAUGACCCGCAAGCCCCCGGGUGGACAAAAAGGUAA